AAGUUCUCAAUGAAUGAGUUCUCAAUGAAUUUAAAGUAUGAACAUAUUUUCCUUAAUUAUUCAGGUCUCAUAGGGUAGUCAAUAAAAUAAAGGAAUAUAAUUUCCUAUAUAGUUGGCUUCUUAUUUUCUUUAGCUUAUAGCUAGCUUUCAUUAGCAACAUGUAUAUGCAGUAAAUAUAUAGUAGUAUUUUUCUCAGUACCUGUUACUUUUAAGGAAAUUCGUUUCAUAAAUAAAAACUAAUUUGAGCGAUAUUACUAUAAAAAGAAUAAUUCAGAGUGAUAAUUAACUUGAAUGUUAACAAAUGCUCAGCAGAAAUAGCUAUGGCAAUUUAAUAAUCCACAGUUAACGUUUUAUACAAAUUGUCAAAGUAGGUAGUAGAUCAAAAAUUUCUUCAUUCAACAUAUAGGAGUUUGGGUAUAUCUGAAGCUGUAGAUUUCAACUGUAAAAUUGUCUCUAAAAUUAUUUCCCCUGAUGUUUUCUUACAUAACUGAAAGACAAUUAUCAAGCUCAGCUUGAAUAAAAUAAAAUCUCAACUUGAAAACUAAUUCAGUUUGCCUCUAGAAAUGAUGGGAUUUAAGCAUUUUUUGGCAUGGAUACAUUCCCUUUGAUAUAGAUAAAAGCCUCUAUUUCAAGGACACAUUAACAUCCAGUUUCUUUCACAUCAAGGAUUAUUGCAUUUUUCUAACCCUGUAGAUAAAUUAGAACCACAGAGAGCAACGAUAGGUCUGCAUUCGCCUUCUCUUCGAUCCUGUGAUGAAGUGUUUCUUAUAGAGUGUAUACCCCAUAUUUAGUCAACUUCUAGAAGAAAGAUUAAAUGUAUUCCGCAGUACAGAAAAUCAGAAUUGGAACUUAUUUAUUUUCUGUCCAGUGAUUAUUUUACAUAGUUUCUUUAGAAGCUUAUAAUUGUUUUUUAGGCCAAUAUGUAAAACUAGAUGAUUCAACUAAUAAGAGCAUGUAUUAAUCUAGAUGAAAUGUUUUUAUAUUUAA